rnacentral:rRNA from 1 species
GACGAACGCUUGCGGCGUGCUUAACACAUGCAAGUCGAACGGAAAGGCCCUGCUUUUGUGGGGUGCUCGAGUGGCGAACGGGUGAGUAACACGUGAGUAACCUGCCCUUGACUUUGGGAUAACUUCAGGAAACUGGGGCUAAUACCGGAUAGGAGCUCCUGCUGCAUGGUGGGGGUUGGAAAGUUUCGGCGGUUGGGGAUGGACUCGCGGCUUAUCAGCUUGUUGGUGGGGUAGUGGCUUACCAAGGCUUUGACGGGUAGCCGGCCUGAGAGGGUGACCGGCCACAUUGGGACUGAGAUACGGCCCAGACUCCUACGGGAGGCAGCAGUGGGGAAUAUUGCACAAUGGGCGGAAGCCUGAUGCAGCAACGCCGCGUGCGGGAUGACGGCCUUCGGGUUGUAAACCGCUUUCGCCUGUGACGAAGCGUGAGUGACGGUAAUGGGUAAAGAAGCACCGGCUAACUACGUGCCAGCAGCCGCGGUGAUACGUAGGGUGCGAGCGUUGUCCGGAUUUAUUGGGCGUAAAGGGCUCGUAGGUGGUUGAUCGCGUCGGAAGUGUAAUCUUGGGGCUUAACCCUGAGCGUGCUUUCGAUACGGGUUGACUUGAGGAAGGUAGGGGAGAAUGGAAUUCCUGGUGGAGCGGUGGAAUGCGCAGAUAUCAGGAGGAACACCAGUGGCGAAGGCGGUUCUCUGGGCCUUUCCUGACGCUGAGGAGCGAAAGCGUGGGGAGCGAACAGGCUUAGAUACCCUGGUAGUCCACGCUGUAAACGGUGGGUACUAGGUGUGGGGUCCAUUCCACGGGUUCCGUGCCGUAGCUAACGCUUUAAGUACCCCGCCUGGGGAGUACGGCCGCAAGGCUAAGACUCAAAGGAAUUGACGGGGCCCCGCACAAGCGGCGGAGCAUGCGGAUUAAUUCGAUGCAACGCGUAGAACCUUACCUGGGUUUGACAUGGAUCGGGAGUGCUCAGAGAUGGGUGUGCCUCUUUUGGGGUCGGUUCACAGGUGGUGCAUGGCUGUCGUCAGCUCGUGUCGUGAGAUGUUGGGUUAAGUCCCGCAACGAGCGCAACCCUUGUUCACUGUUGCCAGCACGUUAUGGUGGGGACUCAGUGGAGACCGCCGGGGUCAACUCGGAGGAAGGUGGGGAUGACGUCAAGUCAUCAUGCCCCUUAUGUCCAGGGCUUCACGCAUGCUACAAUGGCUGGUACAGAGAGUGGCGAGCCUGUGAGGGUGAGCGAAUCUCGGAAAGCCGGUCUCAGUUCGGAUUGGGGUCUGCAACUCGACCUCAUGAAGUCGGAGUCGCUAGUAAUCGCAGAUCAGCAACGCUGCGGUGAAUACGUUCCCGGG